rnacentral:rRNA from 1 species
CCUACGGGCGGCAGCAGUGAGGAAUAUUGGUCAAUGGGCGUAAGCCUGAACCAGCCAAGUCGCGUGAGGGAUGAAGGUUCUAUGGAUCGUAAACCUCUUUUAUAAGGGAAUAAAGUGUGGGACGUGUCCUGUUUUGUAUGUACCUUAUGAAUAAGGAUCGGCUAACUCCGUGCCAGCAGUCGCGGUAAUACGGAGGAUCCGAGCGUUAUCCGGAUUUAUUGGGUUUAAAGGGUGCGUAGGCGGCCUUUUAAGUCAGCGGUGAAAGUCUGUGGCUCAACCAUAGAAUUGCCGUUGAAACUGGGAGGCUUGAGUAGGUUGGAGGCAGGCGGAAUGCGUGGUGUAGCGGUGAAAUGCUUAGAUAUCACGCAGAACCCCGAUUGCGAAGGCAGCCUGCCAAGCCAUGACUGACGCUGAUGCACGAAAGCGUGGGGAUCAAACAGGAUUAGAUACCCGAGUAGUC